GGUUUUGCGCCGCCCUGCGUGUGGAUAAAAAACCGAUCGCUUCCUUCUGGUCCACCAUUUCAGGCGGAGACUCGUGAAGGUCAGAGCUUUUUCUAAAUAGACUGAAAGAAUGAAAGUAAUGUUGAUGAACAACUUGAACAUUCCUGAAAGCCGAGUUCCUGCUACUGAACAAUGCGUCAUGUUGACCAUUUACACUCCGGUGUCCUCACAUCGGUCCACCUGGAGGCUUCAUCAGAUCUUUAUGGUCCAUAAAACCAAACAAUAUGAGCAUCAGUCUGAAUUCCAGUAAUCCCAGUAUGGAGAGUUAUAGUGGUUCCUUCCACUUCCUGCAGUGUGACCAUCUCAUCUCCAGCUGCACUCAGUGAACCUGCAUCACAACUUCAGCACAUCAGAGAGAGAAAAGUACGGAGAAUCCUGUUUCCUGCUGAAAUAUUCACACCAUUGUUAUACUCCAUAGUGCGCGUUUCUCAGAUCAACAUUUUCCCGUUUUUCCUGAACAUCAGUGACACUGAAGAAUUCCAUAAACACUGCAGAUUAGCGCCAUGAUGAAGGUUUCUGUUCUACACAAGUUUCCGAUGCCGUGAGCUUCUCGUCUUCUGUGGCUCACAUCCAGAAAACCACUGGAGCUCCGCCUGUAGCAGUGUUCAGUCUGUAAACACUCACUACAUGCCUGUGUAGAUACUCAGAUCCUGAAAUCUCACCAUUUUACUCAUCAUUUAUCAUCUCAUAAUCAUUUUACUAUUAUUUACAGUUCAGUGUAAAAGAAGUGUAUAUUUAGUGAAAAGAAGAGUGUAGAAAAAAAACCCUGGCAUUGCCAUGCGAUUAUCUGAUGUCACGUGACUCCACCUCCAACAUCCUGAACAUGUGGUUACUCCCAGUGUUUCAGCUGAACAUUGUUGUGUACAGUAUAAACACAGCAGCAUUUUUACUGUACUGUAGAUAAAUGUGUGGUAUUUCAUUCUAAUGUCCUGAUGGUCAGGAAUCACUGUCAGUAUUUAUUCUGUGGAUUCUGUUGUAGGAAGUUCAGCACUGGACUGGUCUCCUGUCUACAUUUCAGCAUAAGUUUGUACACCCUCAGGUAGACGUUACAGUACAUGCAGGUAACAUGUUUCACUUCAGUCUGUAUUUAUAAGCAGAAAUUUACAUUUAAUAAAAAGCUUUGAAUAUAAA